rnacentral:misc_RNA from 1 species
AACCUAGCACACCUGCGGUGUGUACCUGCGGAGGGAUCAUUACACAAAUUAAAAUAUGAAGGCUUCGGCUGGAUUAUUUUUAUCACCCUUGUCUUUUGCGCACUUGUUGUUUCCUGGGCGGGUUCGCCCGCCACCAGGACCACACCAUAAACCUUUUUUAUGCAGUUGCAAUCAGCGUCAGUAUAACAAAUGUAAAUCAUUUACAACUUUCAACAAUGGAUCUCAGAUCGGAAGAGCACA